UACGGAGGGUGCGAGCGUUAUCCGGAUUCACUGGGUUUAAAGGGUGCGUAGGUGGGCAGGUAAGUCAGUGGUGAAAUCUCCGAGCUUAACUCGGAAACUGCCGUUGAUACUAUUUGUCUUGAAUAUUGUGGAGGUAAGCGGAAUAUGUCAUGUAGCGGUGAAAUGCUUAGAUAUGACAUAGAACACCAAUUGCGAAGGCAGCUUACUACACAACGAUUGACGCUGAGGCACGAAAGCGUGGGGAUCAAACAGG
rnacentral:rRNA from 1 species